UAGGGAAUCUUCCACAAUGGACGCAAGUCUGAUGGAGCAACGCCGCGUGAGUGAAGAAGGUUUUCGGACCGUAAAGCUCUGUUGUUGGUGAAGAAGGAUAGAGGUAGUAACUGGCCUUUAUUUGACGGUAAUCAACCAGAAAGUCACGGCUAACUACGUGCCAGCAGCCGCGGUAAUACGUAGGUGGCAAGCGUUGUCCGGAUUUAUUGGGCGUAAAGCGAGCGCAGGCGGAAGAAUAAGUCUGAUGUGAAAGCCCUCGGCUUAACCGAGGAAUUGCAUCGGAAACUGUUUUCUUGAGUGCAGAAGAGGAGAGUAGAACUCCAUGUGUAGCGGUGGAAUGCGUAGAUAUAUGGAAGAAUACCAGUGGCGAAGGCGGCUCUCUGGUCUGCAACUGACGCUGAGGCUCGAAAGCAUGGGUAGUGAACAGGAUUAGAUACCCUGGUAGUCCAUGCCGUAAACGAUGAGUGCUAAGUGUUGGG
rnacentral:rRNA from 1 species